CCUGUAACAAACUCCCACCACCGUCGUUCAUCAUCAAUCUUCUAUCACCGUCGUUCACCAUCAACAACACCGUCGUUCACCAAAUCAACACCACCGUCAUUCACCAUCAUCAUCACCACCGUCGUUUUUCGUCAACAUCAUCAUCAUCCUUCGCAUUUUCAUCCUUCGCCAUAACCAUCACCGAAACCAAACGCUCACAACCUCGCCGGAAACCGUCACUGUGUUUGCCUUCAUCAGUCGGAAACCGAAACCAAACG
rnacentral:lncRNA from 1 species